rnacentral:rRNA from 1 species
GAUGAACGCUGGCGGCGUGCUUAACACAUGCAAGUCGAACGGAAAGGCCCAAGCUUGCUUGGGUACUCGAGUGGCGAACGGGUGAGUAACACGUGGGUGAUCUGCCCUGCACUUCGGGAUAAGCCUGGGAAACUGGGUCUAAUACCGGAUAGGACGAUGGUUUGGAUGCCCUUGUGGAUAGUUCUUUCGGUGUGGGAUGAGCUUGCGGCCUAUCAGCUUGUUGGUGGGGUAAUGGCCUACCAAGGCGUCGUCGGGUAGCCGGCCUGCGAGGGUGUACGGCGACAUUGGGACUGGGAUACGGCCCAGACUCCUACGGGAGGCAGCAGGGGGGAAUAUUGCACAAUGGGCGCAAGACUGAUGCCGCGACGCGGCGUGGGGGAUGACGGCCUUCGGGUUGUAAACUCCUUUCGCUAGGGACGAAGCGUUUUUGUGACGGUACCUGGAGAAGAAGCACCGGCUAACUACGUG